rnacentral:misc_RNA from 1 species
GGAUGUGAUAGCUCAAAACACCGGGAGGAGUGGUGGAGUUGUGAGCGGUUCUGAUUGUUGUUUGAUUAUCGCUGCCGCACUUGAACGGAGCAAUGCUGAAUUGGCGAUAUCUGUAUUUGAUGCUAUGCGUUCCACUUUUCAUCCUGGGACGACUGUUUUAGACAGAGGCCCAUCCUAUGAUAGAUGGAGGUGGUCAAGGCCAGAUGUUAACACAUAUACCUUGUUAGUUCGAGGACUUGCAACACUGCUGAGGGUUUCGGAUGCCCUUAAAAUCAUUGCCAAUGUUUGUCGAGUGAGCAUUUCUCCUAAUGAAGAGGUUCUCUUUGGCAAAGUUGUCCGAUGUCCAAGUUGUGAGAUUGCUGUUACUGUUGCUCAGCCACAAGAUGGUAUCCAGGUUGUAUCCUGUUCAAAAUGCCGUUACCAGUAUGAGCUCCUUUCAGGCAAUAUUGUUAGUAUAGAGUCGGAAGAUUUUAGGUUCUCCUCCUGCCGAACGCAGCAUGGAUAUUCCUGCAUGGAGAAGGGGACUAAGAUUCCUGCCGAUAAAGCAAAACAUUCCAG